AUUGAACGCUGGCGGCAGGCCUAACACAUGCAAGUCGAACGGUAGCACAGAGAGCUUGCUCUCGGGUGACGAGUGGCGGACGGGUGAGUAACGUCUGGGAAACUGCCCGAUGGAGGGGGAUAACUACUGGAAACGGUAGCUAAUACCGCAUAACGUCGCAAGACCAAAGUGGGGGACCUUCGGGCCUCACACCAUCGGAUGUGCCCAGAUGGGAUUAGCUAGUAGGUGGGGUAAUGGCUCACCUAGGCGACGAUCCCUAGCUGGUCUGAGAGGAUGACCGGCCACACUGGAACUGAGACACGGUCCAGACUCCUACGGGAGGCAGCAGUGGGGAAUAUUGCACAAUGGGCGCAAGCCUGAUGCAGCCAUGCCGCGUGUAUGAAGAAGGCCUUCGGGUUGUAAAGUACUUUCAGCGGGGAGGAAGGCGGUGAAGUUAAUAACUUCACCGAUUGACGUCACCCGCAGAAGAAGCACCGGCUAACUCUGUGCCAGCCGCCGCCGUAA
rnacentral:rRNA from 1 species